GAAAGCCGUAUUCGAUGAAAGUUGUAUGUAUGGCUUGGAGGGAGAUAUUUCAAGAUCCACCCUAC
rfam:Capsicum annuum cultivar Zunla-1 chromosome 8, whole genome shotgun sequence